rnacentral:rRNA from 1 species
CAGCAGCCGCGGUAAUACGUAGGGUGCAAGCGUUAAUCGGAAUUACUGGGCGUAAAGCGUGCGCAGGCGGUUAUAUAAGACAGAUGUGAAAUCCCCGGGCUCAACCUGGGAACUGCAUUUGUGACUGUAUAGCUAGAGUACGGCAGAGGGGGAUGGAAUUCCGCGUGUAGCAGUGAAAUGCGUAGAUAUGCGGAGGAACACCGAUGGCGAAGGCAAUCCCCUGGGCCUGUACUGACGCUGAGGUACGAAAGCAUGGGGAGCAAACAGGAUUAGAUACCCCCGUAGUCCCUGUCUCUUAUAC